UUUCAUUACCCCUAAAGGGGUAAGCAUAUAAACAAAUAUAGAAGUGAAAACCAAUUCACAACCACACCACAAAGAGGAGAAGAAUAACUGUUGGAAAAAAGAUUCAGUAGCAGCAGUAGUACUACUAGUAGUAUCAGUAAUAUAAAUAGCAGUAGUAAUAGUAGUAGUAUUAGUGAUGGUGGUCAUAGUAGUAGUAGUAGCAGUAGUAGUAAUAGAAGAAGCAGUAGUAAUAUUAGUAGUAUUAGUGGUGGUGGUGAUGGUGGUAGUAGAAGUAGUAGUAGCAGUAGUAUUAUUGGUGGUGGUGAUGAUAGUAGUAGUAGUAGUCGUAGUAUUAGUGGUAGUGGUGAUGGUAAUAGUAGUAAUAGUAGUAGUAUUAGUGGUGGUGGUGGUGAUGGUAGUAGUAGUAGUAUUGGUGGUGAUGGUAGUAGUAGUAUUAGUAGUAGUAGUUGUAGUGGUGGUGGUGAUGAUGAUAGUAGCAGUAGUAGUAGUAGUAGUAGUAGUAGUAGUAGUAGUAUUGGUGGUGAUGGUAGUAGUAGUAUUAGUAGUAGUUGUUGUAGUGGUGGUGGUGAUGAUGAUACUAGCAGUAGUAGUAGUAGCAGUAGUAUUAGUGGUGGUGGUGAUGGUGGUGGUAGUAGUAGUAGUAGUAGUAUUGGUGGUGAUGGUAGUAGUAGUAUUAGUAGUAGUCGUUGUAGUGGUGGUGGUGAUGAUGAUAGUAGCAGUAGUAGUAGUAGUAGUAGUAGCAGUAGUAUUAGUGGUGGUGGUGAUGGUGGUGGUGGUAGUAGUAGUAGUAGCAGUAAUAGAAGUAGCAGUAGUAGUAGUAGUAUUAGUGGUGGUGGUGGUGAUGGUGGUAGUAGUAGUAGUAGUAUUGGUGGUGAUGGUAGUAGUAGUAUUAGUAGUAGUAGUUGUAGUGGUGGUGGUGAUGAUGAUAGUAGCAGUAGUAGUAGUAGUAGUAGUAGUAGUAUAGUAAUCGUUGUAGUGGUGGUGGUGAUGAUAUAGUAGCAGUAGUAGUAGUAGUAGUAGCAGUAGUAUUAGUGGUGGUGGUGGUG
ensembl:lncRNA